GGGUGCGAUCAUACCAGCACUAAUGCACCGGAUCCCAUCAGAACUCCGCAGUUAAGUCUGCUUGUGCGAGAGUAGUACUAGGAUGGGUGACCUCCUGGGAUGUCCUCGUGUUGCACCCC
rfam:Gossypium raimondii chromosome 6, whole genome shotgun sequence.